UUGUAAGUACUUAUGUAUGUAUGUACAUAUGUAGGUAAAAUAAUGCUUUAGUUGCCAUUGUCAUUAUUUCUUCUUAUUUAUUAAUCGCACAACAUUUACUUUCUUUCCCUUCUUUUACCAAAACAAAAAAAAAACGAAAAAAAACAAAACACAAAACACCCUCGAUUACAUCUACAGAAUAGCAUCAGUGAAUUGGACAUUUCCAGCCAACAAUUUCUAGCCAAUAAUAAACCAGAAAACUCUACCUCCAUUCAUGCCGUCGGCGAUGCUGUUGAAACAACAACAGCUUUAACAACAACAAAAACGACGUCAAUUACUGCUAAUGCAAACCCACCAGCAGAUGGCGGUGUUCUUCUACAAAACCAAAUAACGGACGUUGAGCAACAUGAACAACAGGAGGUGGAGACAAAACCAGAAGAUAAGAAGACAAAUUAAAUGGGCCAGUGGGAUACAUAUGUCACCGUGAGGAAAGGACGAAAAACUAAUGGAGAGUGAAGCAGAGUAUGCCGCUUUGCAAUUACUCUGAGUCUGAUAUUCUCAAGUUUUAUGCAGUACAUGUAGAAAAACAAGCAACAUAAAAAAAAAAAUAAAAAUAAAAAAAUAAACGCCAGAGAAGAAAACAAAAGGGAAAACAAGGAUGCUGUAAAGGGAAAAGUCGAAAGUGUUUAGAGUAAGAAGUGUAAUGCUCCGAAAAAGUGUGUUUAACUAUACUUUAACAGAAAAUGCGCGAAAAAUUUAAGCAAAGCAAAAAAAGGUAGAAAUGUGGAUUAGCUGGGGGGAAUGUCUAAAAAAAAUGUUGAAGAAGAAAGAUUUGAAAAUGCGUAACUUCUUUUGUUUAUUACAAUUUUAACAAAAAUAACUGUCGUUUUUUAAUGUAACACAAUGUCACUACCAAUUUGGCUAAUCUAACAAAAAGCUAAAAGGUUUUUAAUGUGUAAUAUUUAUAUAAAUUGGCUGGCAGUAACUGCGAAAGUUAGAAGUUAAAAAAUACACAAAUUUAUUAACUCCGCUUUUUAGCGCGAAAGUGAGUGCUGACAAAGACUCGUUAGCUCCAUAACAAGUUCAAACUUUCCAUUUACUUUAGUAUAAUUUGGAACAUUCUAAUGGAUUGCACCUAAAUGUAUGCUAAGCUAUUAUAUUUUUGCUAUGGAUUAAUGUAUAGCGUUUAAGUUUUUAAUAAGUACUAUUAUUAUUUUAUUUUGCAUUGAAGUUACUUAGAUCGCAUUUAGUACAAGUUAACACUGUAGUUUUACAAAAAAAUUUUAUUUUAUUAAAAAAAAAGUGUAAAGUAUGAAAAGGUAUGAAGUGUUUGUUGCCCUCACGAGACUUGCACCCGCGCAAUGCUAAGCGAAAAAGCAAAUUACCGUAUGAAUGACCGAGCAUACACAUACAACUGUCUUUUUUUUAUUUAUUUAUUUAUUUUAUUUUUUUCGUAAUGAUUUUCUUAGUUGUAUUCUUCAUGGUAGUAUAAUUGUAAGUACGACGAAUGUAAUAGUGUAUAGAAUAGCCAGUUUGCGGAAAAUUCAAUAGAAAAGCGAAAAAGAAGAAUGAAACUACAAAUGUACACUGGCGGUCACGCAUAACUUACCACCACAAUCUUCUUCGUGAAGUAGAAUUUUGUACAUUAAUAAAAUAAUUUGUGUCUAAACUUUGCACACAAUAUAGAAAAACUCAUCAAGUUUUCAUCAAAAUUUUUAGGAAAUUUUCGGUAUGAUAAUGUGCAAGCUUAAAGUGAUCCCAAAUUGUCAUUGAUUUGUAAAAAGUUUGCUGGCGCAGUUUUUUCCAAACAAUGCAUGCUUUUUAUAUGGGGAGAAUGCGCAACAUCGUAUGAAAAAAAAU